rnacentral:rRNA from 1 species
AAGGAGCCUUGCUCCUUUGACGUUAGCGGCGGACGGGUGAGUAACACGUGGGUAACCUACCUAUAAGACUGGAAUAACUUCGGGAAACCGAAGCUAAUGCCCGAUAACAUGUAGAACCGCAUGGUUCUACAGUGAAAGAUGGCCUUGCUAUCACUUAUAGAUGGACCCGCGCCGUAUUAGCUAGUUGGUAAGGUAACGGCUUACCAAGGCAACGAUACGUAGCCGACCUGAGAGGGUGAUCGGCCACACUGGAACUGAGACACGGUCCAGACUCCUACGGGAGGCAGCAGUAGGGAAUCUUCCGCAAUGGGCGAAAGCCUGACGGAGCAACGCCGCGUGAGUGAUGAAGGUCUUCGGAUCGUAAAGCUCUGUUAUUAGGGAAGAACAAGUGCGUAAGUAACUGUGCGCACCUUGACGGUACCUAAUCAGAAAGCCACGGCUAACUACGUGCCAGCAGCCGCGGUAAUACGUAGGUGGCAAGCGUUAUCCGGAAUUAUUGGGCGUAAAGCGCGCGUAGGCGGUUUMUUAAGUCUGAUGUGAAAGCCCACGGCUCAACCGUGGAGGGUCAUUGGAAACUGGGAGACUUGAGUGCAGAAGAGGAAAGUGGAAUUCCAUGUGUAGCGGUGAAAUGCGCASAGAUAUGGAGGAACACCAGUGGCGAAGGCGACUUUUCUGGUCUGUAACUGACGCUGAUGUGCGAAAGCGUGGGGAUCAAACAGGAUUAGAUACCCUGGUAGUCCACGCCGUAAACGAUGAGUGCUAAGUGUUAGGGGGUUUCCGCCCCUUAGUGCUGCAGCUAACGCAUUAAGCACUCCGCCUGGGGAGUACGACCGCAAGGUUGAAACUCAAAGGAAUUGACGGGGACCCGCACAAGCGGUGGAGCAUGUGGUUUAAUUCGAAGCAACGCGAAGAACCUUACCAAAUCUUGACAUCCUUUGACCACUCUGGAGACAGAGCUUUCCCCUUCGGGGGACAAAGUGACAGGUGGUGCAUGGUUGUCGUCAGCUCGUGUCGUGAGAUGUUGGGUUAAGUCCCGCAACGAGCGCAACCCUUAAGCUUAGUUGCCAUCAUUAAGUUGGGCACUCUAAGUUGACUGCCGGUGACAAACCGGAGGAAGGUGGGGAUGACGUCAAAUCAUCAUGCCCCUUAUGAUUUGGGCUACACACGUGCUACAAUGGACAAUACAAAGGGCAGCUAAACCGCGAGGUCAUGCAAAUCCCAUAAAGUUGUUCUCAGUUCGGAUUGUAGUCUGCAACUCGACUACAUGAAGCUGGAAUCGCUAGUAAUCGUAGAUCAGCAUGCUACGGUGAAUACGUUCCCGGGUCUUGUACACACCGCCCGUCACACCACGAGAGUUUGUAACACCCGAAGCCGGUGGAGUAACC